UGAUGGCUAGGGUGUUGUCAACAGGAGCUGUUUUUCUCUUUCCUAUUCCAGUAAGGCAGUGCUGUCUGUGCUGGGGACACGUGCAGUUCCCAGCUCGUGUAUGCUGACGGGGUGCCUUGCUUCUGCAGCCUGUGAGAAGCCAUUGGUUAAUACAUGCAAUAUUGUUAUGAAAUGGAGCUACGACUAUAAAAACAGAAGGUUUGCAGGGCCGAUAUAUUUUAAUACAUAAAACCUCAAGCAUGAAACCAAAUCCACAGAGCUUUUUCAGCAUCAACAAAUCUCUUGAGGUGAAGAACUACUUGAUGGUGUGAAGACAUGCAUGCUUUCCAAUCACAUGCAAUUCAACAGAAUUAUGACUUCCUCCUCACCUAACAGGAGGGUCAAGAGGUGAUUCUCUUAAGUUUUAUUAAUAAACUUUCAAAAUAGCAACUCAAAGCAGCUUUGGACUGGAAGAAACAAUUCUGCUGAGAAUGCUUUACCUCUUCCUCCUUUUGUUGGAGAUUUUUUUUAAGAAUUUUUCUCUCAAAUCCCAGAAGUUGGGGUGUGUGGUUAGACUGAGCACAUAAAUACAUUUUGUUCUUCAUAUUAUUUUAGUGUUCUUAACUAAACAUGGGUGUUUGGAUCCAAAUGAAAAUGUCUGCUAAUUUGUUGCACUUGUUGAUUUGUUAUGUAUCCCAACUGGAAGGCUGUCUUUCACUGGAGUAAUAGGAAACUUAAGGGCCUUUAGAUGGAAUUCAGGAGAAGUUUUGAAGAUGACUGUUUCAUAUCGUUGAUUAACUUAUAAUUCUAAUCAGAUAUGUGUUAUCCAAUUAAAAAGGCUAAAACUGACUUGAGCUUUAAUUAAUAUGCCUGAAAGCCAGCUAUUUUGAUGCUGAAAGCAUCUUGUCAGUUGCUUGACCACUGGGAAAACUAAAAUCCUAGGCCUGCUGAAUCAUUGCUGUCCUUAUGGCAAAGUUUGCCCUCCUUCUGCCUCAGCUUCCCUGCUGUGACUGCUGGUGGCACAAAGGUGUUUUGCCGCUUGGCUGGUGUGUGGUGAGGGGUCAGAGUCCUGUCAUCUUCACAGCACCUGCUCCUUAGGGUGCUGGAAGGAUGACGCUUUUGUAUCUUGGAACUAAGCAUGCAGGUAUGUUGCAUAAAAGCAAAAAUAAUAAUCAUAAUAAAAAAAUAGCAUCUGAAGUUCAACCUGUAUAAGUUCAGGAAAAUUACUUAGAAAAUACAUUUUUUAAUGCAGUGAAUGUACAAAGAGAAGGAGGCAGGUAACAGCUAGGAAGCAUUACAGACAACUGAGUAUUCCCUAAGUGUUUCUCCAAAGGAUAUUUAUCCAAAAGUGAUGUGUUUUUUAUUAAACUCAACAGAGUGAUUGCCCUAGUAUUUGCAUCAUCUGUGUAGACUGUCUUGUAGGUGGGCUGCUCCGAAUCUAUCCUGGAUACUAAUAAAGUAAGCUUCUCCUUU